AUUGAACGCUAGCGGCAGGCCUAACACAUGCAAGUCGAGCGAGCGGCGGACGGGUGAGUAAUGUCUGGGAAACUGCCUGAGGGAGGGGGAUAACUACUGGAAACGGUAGCUAAUACCGCAUACCAUCAGAUGUGCCCAAAUGGGAUUAGCUUGUGGUUGGGGUAACGGCUCACCUAGGCGACGAUCCCUAUCUGGUCUGAGAGGAUGACCAGCCACACUGGAACUGAGACACGGUCCAGACUCCUACGGGAGGCAGCAGUGGGGAAUAUUGCACAAUGGGGGCAAGCCUGAUACAGCCAUCCCGCGUGUAUGAAGAAGGCCUUCGGGUUGUAAAGUACUUUCAGCGGGGAGGCGUUACCCGCAGAAGAAGCACCGGCUAACUCCGUGCCAGCCGCCGCGGUAAUAC
rnacentral:rRNA from 1 species